rnacentral:rRNA from 1 species
GACGAACGCUGGCGGCGUGCUUAACACAUGCAAGUCGAACGGAAAGGCCCUGCUUUUGUGGGGUGCUCGAGUGGCGAACGGGUGAGUAACACGUGAGUAACCUGCCCUUGACUUUGGGAUAACUUCAGGAAACUGGGGCUAAUACCGGAUAGGAGCUCCUGCUGCAUGGUGGGGGUUGGAAAGUUUCGGCGGUUGGGGAUGGACUCGCGGCUUAUCAGCUUGUUGGUGGGGUAGUGGCUUACCAAGGCUUUGACGGGUAGCCGGCCUGAGAGGGUGACCGGCCACAUUGGGCCUGAGAUACGGCCCAGACUCCUACGGGAGGCAGCAGUGGGGAAUAUUGCACAAUGGGCGGACGCCUGAUGCAGCGACGCCGCGUGCGGGAUGACGGCCUUCGGGUUGUAAACCGCUUUCGCCUGUGACGAAGCGUGAGUGACGGUAAUGGGUAAAGAAGCACCGGCUAACUACGUG